rnacentral:lncRNA from 1 species
UGUUUGUUUAGUUGUUUUUUUGUUUUUGUAUUUGUUUUUGGUGCCAAUUUUCUAAUCAUACUGUUUUAAAAAUUAUUUUAAGAACUUUUUAUUGAGAAUUAUUUGUAUAUGACAGGUACAAUUCCUUUAUUCAUUGUUUGGUUUGCAAAUACUUUCAUGUUUGCUUUUCCCUGUUGCUUGCUUUUCCCUCAGUUUAACAAGAUGUUUCACACAACAAAACCAGCAAUGUUUUAUUGAGUCUUUUCUUUAAUGAAUCAUUUUUGGGUGUUUUCUCCCCUUAUAAUUUCUUUCUUUUUUUUUUUUUUUUUUGCUUUAUAAUUUCAAUUGCUUUUGUUUGUUUAAACAGGUAUGAGAUUAUGUUGUGGGAUGUGUUCUUUAGGUAAAUAGUCACUGUAAUGCCUUUAAUUGAAAGCUUAUUGUCCUUCCAUUGAAUUGUCCUUGCACCUUUUUUAAAUCACUUUUGCAGCUGAUGUCCUGGGUUGCUUUCUAUUACUGUGAGAAGUAUCGUGACCAAAAGCCGAAUAGGAAGGAGAGAACUGAUUUCACAGGUCUCAGUCCAUCAGGACAGGAAGUCAGGAACCUGAAGGCAGGAACUGAAGCACAGCUCAUACUUGAGUGCUGCUAGCCAGCUUCCUAUAUAUAGAUCAUUCUAUUUGUUUUCUUAUAGCACCAAGGAUCACCUGCCCAGAUUUGGCAUUGCCCGGGCCCUCUCUCAUCCUCGGUAAUCAAAAAGAGAUCCCACAGACUUUUAAUCUGAUGGAGGCAUUUUCUCAGUUGAGGUUCUUUUUUUCCAGGUUCUAUCUAGCAUUUCAGGUUGACAGAGCUAACCAGCACAACUGGGAGGAGGCAGGGAGACUGGAGCUUUCAAGCCAGCAUGGGUUACAUAGCAAGUUCCCAGCCAGCUAUGUUGGUAGAGAGAGCCUGUCUAGCAAUGCAAGUCCAGUCCCAAGCACAGCCCCAAACUGGCUGUGGUAGUACUGGCUGUAACCUCAGCACCUGGGAGGUGGAGAUAAGAAGGGUCAGGGUUAGGGUCACCCAUUCCCACAUGUUCACUUGAAGCUGGCUUGGGACUUUGAGACUUGUCUCAAAAUAAAACAAAAUUUCUUCUCCGGCCUCUUAUUUUAAAAGUUGGUAAGAUUGGUUUUCAUGUUUUAGAUUGUGGAAAAACCCUCACAACACAUAAAAACCUUAUGAUACGUAAAUUCUCUGUCCAUAGAUAAAAGUUUUAUUGGAAUACAACUGUUCAUUUAUAUAUUGUCUAUAUAGGUUUUUGCUUUUGUUUUUUUUGCAUUAUAGUAGCAAACUAGGAGUAUUGAGGCAGAGAUCAUAUGCUCUACAAAGCCUGCUGUGUUCUUUACAGAGAAAGUUGGCAACCUCUGACUUGAGGCAUGGACUGUGACUAAGAGACAUGUUCCCACACAUCACCCCAGCAUACUCAAUCCAAAUUCAAAUACAGGAUAAUUUCAGAUACUACCACUUCAGACGCCUGGCAUUGCUCAUAAAUAGUUAAAAGUUUGGUAUGUAUAUACUUACUCCAAAAUUGGAAGUAAAAUGAUUUUCAGAGUUGAGGUAACAUGCUUGAAAUUUUCUAAUGGUAGAACUGAAUAUUAGACUCUUAAGAAAAACCAAACACCUCAGAGUCCAGUUUGCUCUUUCUGCUGUGCUCAUUGAUUGAUGUUUAUAAAAACAAUAUUAAGAUGUUUGCUUUAUCUUAUUAUAAGCAGUAUGCUUCAGCUUACCUAAGUAGCUACUUGUAUCCUUUGAUCUUAAUUUCUUUCUCUCCUUUGUUAUUGUUCAUAAAGCAAAGAUCAAAGAUAGUUCAUCAAAAGUAAUAGUUUCUUUUUAAUUGUUGUUGGCUGGUAACUAUGAUCUUAAUAUAUUAAGGAAAGGGUCAGAAGAUGCUUGCCUAGCUCUUAACUCCAUUGCCAUUAAACUUAGAGGAUUGCUCUUAUGUGGCUCUUCAUAGUCAGCUUUUCUGUUUUUCACUUUUGACCUCUUCCUAACUGCUAUCAUGUGGAAGUGUUUUGUGAGAUACAAAAGACACUGGGUGUGAUGGCAUAUUUGUGAGAUCACAGCAUUUGGAAGGCUGAAGAUUGCUAGCUGUAGUAGGGCCCUAUCUCAGAAAAUUAUUGAUAGAAACACUUGAUUGAGUUUUGUGGUAGGAAUGGAGAAUUAUUGUGAUUAUAUUGAGAAUUAAUUUCAUUUAUCAGAAACUUGAGAAACUGUUUUCCUCUAUCCACCAGAAAGG